UCUUCCGCUGCUCCCUGACUCCCGCACAUUCCCACCUUCCCCAGGCAGCACAGAGGAGCCCAUUGUCAGCCCGGAGGCUCGAGGCCCGAGGAGAUGGAGGGAAAGGAGGAGGGCGGGCAGGCCCCUGUGGGGUUGGGGAAUCCCCUGAUUUCCCGGCCCUCCGCACUACGCUAGGCCAGCAGGGACCUGAAGAUCUCUUUUGAACCCCGGGUCCUGCCAAAGUCUAGAAACCGAUGGGAGAAGAGGGUCCCGAGCGAGUUAGAGAUGGGAGGCUUUCCAGCCGUGGGAAGACCCCAGUUCUGAGCAGGGGAGCCCCAAGGGUAUUCACGCACGCCCCAGCCUUUGGAGCGUUCCUUGACGAGGCUAAACUGAUCGCGCGGGGAGCGAGGCCGUGGCGGGAAAAGAGGGGCAUCCUCUGCUGGGCCGGCCUCCGAGGGUCGGAGUCGGGGUUACCCGCUGGAGGGCGGGGCGGAGAAGAAAGAAGGUUGCGGGUGAACGGGACGGGUAGGCUGGGGACGCCCGGGGAGCUGCAGAGUCUCGGCGCGGGAGAGGGAGUCCCGGCCAGGGGUCCCGCGCCGAGGCGGGGCGGGCGCUGAAGGGCGGGGCGGGGAGGGGCGGCCGUCUCGGCCCUCCCUGGCGGGGCCCCGCGGCCUGGAAGCCUGAGCGGGCCGAGCCGCCACCGCGGCCGGAGCUGUCCCUCAGCCAGACCCGGCGAGACACGAGUGGCGGGAGGGAGGCGGUGGCGCGCCCGGCCCCGCCCGCCCGCCCGCCCGACCAAGCGUCGGACGCGGCCCGGCGCCGAGCCAUGGAGCCUGAACCAGUGGAGGACUGUGUGCAGGGCACUCUCGCUGCCCUGUAUCCACCCUUUGAGGCAACAGCCCCCACCCUGUUGGGCCAGGUGUUCCAGGUGGUGGAGAGGACUUAUCGGGAAGAUGCACUGAGGUACACGCUGGACUUCCUGGUACCAGCCAAGCACCUGCUUGCCAAAGUUCAGCAGGAAGCCUGUGCCCAAUACAGUGGAUUCCUCUUCUUCCAUGAGGGGUGGCCGCUCUGCCUGCAUGAACAGGUAGUGGUGCAGCUAGCAGCCCUACCCUGGCAGCUGCUGCGCCCAGGAGACUUCUAUCUGCAAGUGGUACCCUCAGCCGCCCAAGCACCACGACUAGCACUCAAGUGUCUGGCCCCUGGGGGUGGACGGGUGCAGGAAAUUCCUGUGCCCAGUGAGGCCUGUGCCUACCUAUUCACACCUGAGUGGCUACAAGGCAUCAACAAGGACCGGCCAACGGGUCGCCUCAGUACCUGCCUACUGUCUGCACCCUCUGGGAUUCAGCGGCUGCCCUGGGCUGAGCUCAUCUGCCCACGAUUUGUGCACAAAGAGGGCCUCAUGGUUGGACAUCAGCCAAGUACACUGCCCCCAGAACUGCCCUCUGGACCUCCAGGGCUUCCCAGCCCUCCACUUCCUGAGGAGGCGCUGGGCACCCGGAGCCCUGGGGAUGGGCACAAUGCCCCUGUGGAAGGACCUGAGGGUGAGUACGUGGAGCUGUUGGAGGUGACGCUGCCCGUGAGGGGGAGCCCAACAGAUGCUGAAGGCUCCCCAGGCCUCUCUAGAGUCCGGACAGUACCCACUCGCAAGGGUGCUGGAGGGAAAGGCCGCCACCGGAGACACCGGGCAUGGAUGCACCAGAAGGGCCUGGGACCUCGGGACCAGGAUGGAGCACGCCCACCUGGUGAGGGGAGCAGCACCGGAGCCUCCCCUGGGUCUCCCCAAGGAGCUGAGGCUGUCCCAGAGGCAGUAGUCUUGGAGGUGUCUGAGGCCCCAGCAGAGGCCUUGGGAGAAGCUUCUAAAUCUUGCCCCCUGAGGCCAGGGGAGCUUAGAGGAGGAGGAGGAGGAGGCCAAGGGGCUGAAGGACCGCCUGGGACCCCUCGGAGAACAGGCAAAGGAAACAGAAGAAAGAAGCGUGCUGCAGGCAGAGGGGCUCUAAGCCGAGGAGGGGACAGUGCCCCACUGAGCUCUGGGGACAAGGAAGAGGCCAGCCACCAAGAAGCUCUUGGCAAUGUACCCUCACCAAGUGAGCACAAGCUUCCAGAAUGCAGCCUGGUUAAGGAGGAAUAUGAAGGUGCAGGGAAGCCAGAAUCUGAGCCAAAAGAGGAGCUCAAACCAGCGGAUAAAGAAGAGCCUCCAUCUCCAGAAGCCUGUGGGCCAACAGAAGAGGAGGCCAGAGAGAGAGAGCAGCAGGGGCCAGGUCUGCUGUGUAUGGCAGGACACACAGACCCCGAAGAUCUCCUGUCUGACCUUCCAACACCUCCACUGGAGACUGUGCAGGGAGGAAAAGGGGACAGCAUUCCAGAAGAGGGCCUUCCAGUUUCCAUCUCUGAUGAUGCUGAUGUAGAUUGGGACUUGAUGGCAUCUGGAUUCCUCAUCCUGACUGGAGGGGUGGACCAGAGUGGGCGAGCUCUGCUGACCAUUACCCCACGGUGCCCUCCUGAGGAGCCCCCACCCUCCCGAGACACGCUGAGCACUACUCUUCAUUACCUCCACUCACUGCUCAGGCCUGAUCUACAGAUACUGGGGCUGUCCAUCCUACUGGACCUUCGCCAGGCACCUCCACUGCCUCCAGCACUCCUUCCUGUCUUGAGCCAACUUCAGGACUCAGGAGAUCCUCCCCUCCUUCAGCGACUGCUGAUUCUCACUCAUGAUGACCCUCCAACUGAACUCUGUGGAUUUCAGGGUGCUGAGGUGCUGUCAGAGAACGAUCUGAAAAGAGUGGCCAAGCCAGAGGAGCUGCAGUGGGAAUUAGGAGGUCACAGGAACCCCUCUCCCAGUCACUGGGUAGAGGUACAUCAGGAAGUGGUAAGGCUAUGCCACCUGUGCCAAGGUGUGCUGAACUCAGUACGGCAGGCCAUUGAGGAGCUGGAGGGAGCAGCAGAGCCAGAGGGAGAGGAGGCAGUGGGAAUGCCCAAGCCCCUGCAGAAGGUGCUGGCAGAUCCCCGGCUGACGGCACUGCAGAGGGAUGGGGGGGCCAUCCUGAUGAGGCUGCGCUCCACUCACAGCAGCAAGCUGGAGGGCCAAGGCCCAGCCACGCUGUAUCAGGAAGUGGACGAGGCCAUUCACCAGCUCGUACGCCUCUCCAACCUGCACGUGCAGCAGCAAGAGCAGCGGCAAUGCCUGCGGCGACUCCAGCAGGUAUUGCAGUGGCUCUCGGGCCCAGGGGAGGAGCAGCUGGCAAGUUUUACUGCGCCCGGGGAUACCCUGUCUGCCCUGCAGGAGACAGAGCUUCGAUUCCGGGCCUUCAGCACUGAGGUCCAGGAGCGCCUGGCCCAGGCACGGGAGGCCCUGGCUCUGGAGGAGAAUGCCACCUCCCAGAAGGUGCUGGAUAUCUUUGAACAGAGGCUGGAACAGGUUGAGAGUGGCCUCCACCGGGCCUUGAGGCUACAGCGCUUCUUCCAGCAGGCACACGAAUGGGUGGAUGAGGGUUUUGCUCGGCUGGCAGGAGCUGGCCCGGGUCGGGAGGCCAUGCUGGCUGCACUGGCCCUGAGGCGGGCCCCAGAGCCCAGUGCUGGCACCUUCCAGGAGAUGCGGGCCCUGGCCCUGGACCUGGGCAGCCCAGCAGCCCUUCGAGAGUGGGGCCGCUGCCGGGCACGCUGCCAAGAGCUGGAGAGGAGGAUUCAGCAACACCUGGGAGAGGAGGCAAGCCCACAGGGGUAUUGGCGACGGCGAGCAGACAGUGCCAGCAGCGGAGGGGCCCAGUGGGGCCCCCACAGCCCCUCACCCAGCCUCAGCUCCUUGCUGCUCCCCAGCAGCCCUGGGCCACAGGCAGCCCCAUCCCAUUGCUCCCUGGCCCCAUGUGGAGAGGACUAUGAGGAGGAGGGCCCUGAGCUGGCUCCCAAAGCAGAGGGCAGGCCCCCACGGGCUGUGCUGAUCCGAGGCCUGGAGGUCACCAGCACUGAGGUGGUAGACAGGACGUGCUCACCUCGGGAACAUGUGCUGUUGGGCCGGGCCGGGGGGCCAGACGGACCCUGGGGAGUAGGCACCCCCCGGAUGGAGCGCAAGCGAAGCGUCAGUGCCCAGCAGCGUCUGGUGUCUGAGCUGAUUGCCUGUGAACAAGAUUACGUGGCCACCUUAAGUGAGCCGGUACCACCCCCUGGGCCUGAGCUGACUCCUGAACUUCGAGGCACCUGGGCUGCCACCCUGAGUGCCCGGGAAAGGCUCCGCAGCUUCCACCGGACACACUUUCUGCGGGAGCUUCAGGGCUGCGCCACCCACCCCCUGCGCAUUGGGGCCUGCUUCCUUCGCCACGGGGACCAGUUCAGCCUUUACGCCCAGUACGUGAAGCACCGGCACAAACUGGAGAAUGGUCUGGCUGCGCUCAGCCCCUCCACCAAGGGAUCCAUGGAAGCUGGCCCUUACCUUCCCCGAGCCCUGCAGCAGCCCCUGGAACAGCUGGCUCGGUAUGGGCGGCUCCUGGAGGAGCUCCUGAGAGAAGCUGGGCCUGAGCUGAGUUCUGAGCGCCAGGCCCUUGGGGCUGCUGUGCAGCUGCUCCGGGAACAAGAGGCCCGUGGCAGAGACCUGCUGGCCGUGGAGGCAGUGCGUGGCUGUGAGAUAGAUCUGAAGGAGCAGGGACAGCUCUUGCAUCGAGACCCCUUCACUAUCAUCUGUGGCCGAAAGAAGUGCCUUCGCCAUGUCUUUCUCUUUGAGCAUCUCCUCCUGUUCAGCAAGCUCAAGGGCCCUGAAGGGGGGUCAGAGAUGUUUGUUUACAAGCAGGCCUUUAAGACUGCUGACAUGGGACUGACAGAAAACAUCGGGGACAGCGGACUCUGCUUUGAGUUGUGGUUUCGGCGGCGGCGUGCACGAGAGGCAUACACUCUGCAGGCAUCCUCACCGGAGAUCAAACUCAAGUGGACAAGUUCUAUUGCCCAGCUGCUGUGGAGACAGGCAGCCCACAACAAGGAGCUCCGAGUGCAGCAGAUGGUCUCCAUGGGCAUUGGGAAUAAACCCUUCCUGGACAUCAAAGCUCUUGGGGAGCGGACGCUGAGUGCCCUGCUCACUGGAAGAGCCGCCCGCACUCGGGCCUCCGUGGCCGUGUCAUCCUUUGAGCAUGCCGGCCCCUCCCUUCCCGGCCUUUCUCCGGGAGCCUGCUCCCUGCCUGCCCGCGUCGAGGAGGAGGCCUGGGAUCUGGACGUCAAGCAAAUUUCCCUGGCCCCAGAAACACUUGACUCUUCUGGAGAUGUGUCCCCAGGACCAAGAAACAGCCCCAGCCUGCAACCCUCCCACCCUGGGAGCAGCACUCCCACCCUGGCCAGUGGAGGGAUCUUAGGGCUAUCCCGGCAGAGGCAUCAAGGUCAUAGGUUAAAAGGAAUCUUGAACAAGGAGUAUAGUGCUAGAGUGGAUGGGAAGGGAAGAAUGCCAAUGGCCUGGCUUGGACUUGGAUUAACAUAACAAAACUCAUGCCAGAGUCAUGCUCGAGCCCUAAGUGACCCCACCACGCCUCUGUGACCUGGAGAAAAUCCAGAACUUGCCUGCAGCUUCUCCUCUCAGCACACUUUGGGCUGGGAUGGCAGUGGGGCAUAAUGGAGCACUGGGAGAUUGCUGAAUUUCUUCCCUCUGCUUCCUGGACACAGGAAGGUCUAAGGACCAGAGCAUUGCCCUGCCACCACUCUCUCUAGUCUCCCUAGCUUGGUGCCUUCUCCUGCAGGAGCCAGAGCAGCAACAUUGCUUGCCUUCAUGCCCUGGAGGUGGGAAAGUUACCCCUCUUCUGGUGCUUUCCCAUCCUGGGCCACUGAAUCCAGGACAUCACUCCCAUGCCAGCCCUCUCUGGUAGCCCAUGUUCUUUUUUCUCAUCCCCUGACUUUCCCUGAGAAGAAUCAUCUCUGCCAGGUCAACUGGAGUUCCUGGUGACUCCAUUCUGAGAUGCCACAGGAAAUGGAACUAUGCAAACAAUAAUAGGAGGGUGUGACAGGGGAACUGUAGACUUUAUAUAUGUAAUUACUAUUAUAAUACUAUUGUUAUAUUAAAUGUAUUUACGCAGA